CCUACGGGUGGCAGCAGUGAGGAAUAUUGGUCAAUGGGUGCGAGCCUGAACCAGCCAAGUAGCGUGAAGGAUGACUGCCCUACGGGGUGUAAACUUCUUUUAUAAAGGAAUAAAGUGAGGCACGUGUGCCUUUUUGUAUGUACUUUAUGAAUAAGGAUCGGCUAACUCCGGGCCAGCAGCCGCGGUAAUAAGGAGGAUCCGAGCGUUAUCCGGAUUUAUUGGGGUUAAAGGGAGAGGAUAUGGGUUGUUAAGUCAGUUGUGAAAGUUUGCGGCUUAACCUGAAAAUUGCAAUUGAUACUGGCAGCCUUGAGUACAGUUGAGGUAGGCGGAAUUCGUGGUGUAGCGGUGAAAUGCUUAGAUAUCACGAAGAACUCCGAUUGCGAAGGCAGCCUACUAAACUGCCACUGACAUUGAUGCUCGAAAGUGUGGGUAUCAAACAGGAUUAGAUACCCCUGUAGUC
rnacentral:rRNA from 1 species